rnacentral:rRNA from 1 species
AGGACGAACGCUGGCGGCGUGCUUAACACAUGCAAGUCGAGCGGAAAGGCCCUUCGGGGUACUCGAGCGGCGAACGGGUGAGUAACACGUGAGCAACCUGCCCCUGGCUCUGGGAUAGCUCCGGGAAACCGGGAUUAAUACCGGACAUGACCUCCUCCCGCAUGGGUGGAGGUGGAAAGUUUUUCGGCCAGGGAGGGGCUCGCGGCCUAUCAGCUUGUUGGCAGGGUAAUGGCCUACCAAAGGCGACGACGGGUAG